GCUAAUUCUGACAACGAAUCUGUUCUCACUUUAGGAACUGAUUCUAUCAGUGAGUCUGCAUCUAGUUUUACAGAAUCAGAUGAAUCUGAUAAUGGUAGCCGCACUAAUAAAAAGAAGAAUGUUAAUAAGUCAAAAAAAGUGAUCAACAAAAAAGUGAAAAGUGACCAGUCAAACUCUGCCAAAACUACAGCUGCCUCUGAAGUACAGCAAGAAAUAGCUGAAGAAAAUUCUUGUUCAACCUCAGAUACUACACAUACCAACAGCAUAGCCUCCUUUGUCAUCAAUGAUAAAUGUCUUAGCUCCGUGGCUUCAGUUCAUUGUUAGAUUACCUCAAGAACUGGUUGAAUCGACAGCUUCAGCAAACUCCAUCCAACGGAGAGUGCGUCAGAUGGAGAAUGAUGUUUUUAAAGACUUAGAUCUAAGAUGGUGUAAGCAGGCUAGUCGUCCUGUCAACCGGUCAAAAAUGACACCUUCAAGAAAAGUGAUUGACA
rnacentral:lncRNA from 1 species